rnacentral:rRNA from 1 species
UACAGAGGUCUCAAGCGUUGUUCGGAUUCAUUGGGCGUAAAGGGUGCGUAGGUGGCGCCGUAAGUCAGGUGUGAAAUUUCGGAGCUUAACUCCGAAACUGCAUUCGAUACUGGCGUGCUUGAGGACUGGAGAGGAGACUGGAAUUCAUGGUGUAGCAGUGAAAUGCGUAGAGAUCAUGAGGAAGACCAGUGGCGAAGGCGGGUCUCUGGACAGUUCCUGACACUGAGACACGAAGGCCAGGGGAGCAAACGGG